GGAUAGAGCUCAGUGGUAGAGUGCCAUGCUUAGAAUUCAUGAGGUACUGGGUUCAAUCCCCAGUCCCUCCA
rnacentral:tRNA from 1 species